GGUAUAUCUGAACUCUUUGGCGAUAUAGCUAUUCAUACUACUAUUCUUUUCUUCAACAACACCAUUUACUUCCCCAGAUUUCUCAAAUAUCUGAUCUGAAAUUGGAAGAAAAUCUUCGUCCCGAGAAAUUAACUCAGCCACCUCAGAUGCAAAAAGCCCAAAGUAAUCUGGUCCCUGCCUGUUGCAUUCAGUUGAAGCAACCCGACCCAUUUAAGAUAAUAGCUUCAAUGCCAACUUCUACACUGAAUUACUAUUGGACAAGUGUCGGUAGCACUCAC
rnacentral:misc_RNA from 1 species